ACGAGUCGCAAACUCGCGAGAGUAAGCUAAUCUCUUAAAGCCGUUCUCAGUUCGGACUGUAGGCUGCAACUCGCCUACACGAAGUCGGAAUCGCUAGUAAUCGCGGAUCAGCAUGCCGCGGUGAAUACGUUCCCGGGCCUUGUACACACCGCCCGUCACACCAUGAGAGUCGGGAACACCCGAAGUCCGUAGCCUAACAGCAAUGAGGGCGCGGCCGAAGGUGGGUUUGAUAAUUGGGGUGAAGUCGUAACAAGGUACC
rnacentral:rRNA from 1 species